UGGGGAAUUUUGGACAAUGGGGGAAACCCUGAUCCAGCCAUCCCGCGUGUGCGAUGAAGGCCUUCGGGUUGUAAAGCACUUUUGGCAGGAAAGAAACGUCGCGGGUUAAUACCCCGCGAAACUGACGGUACCUGCAGAAUAAGCACCGGCUAACUACGUGCCAGCAGCCGCGGUAAUACGUAGGGUGCAAGCGUUAAUCGGAAUUACUGGGCGUAAAGCGUGCGCAGGCGGUUCGGAAAGAAAGAUGUGAAAUCCCAGAGCUUAACUUUGGAACUGCAUUUUUAACUACCGGGCUAGAGUGUGUCAGAGGGAGGUGGAAUUCCGCGUGUAGCAGUGAAAUGCGUAGAUAUGCGGAGGAACACCGAUGGCGAAGGCAGCCUCCUGGGAUAACACUGACGCUCAUGCACGAAAGCGUGGGGAGCAAACAGGAUUAGAUACCCUGGUAGUCCACGCCCUAAACGAUGUCAACUAGCUGUUGGGGCCUUCGGGCCUUGGUAGCGCAGCUAACGCGUUAAAUCGACCGCCUGGGGAGUACGGCCGCAAGGUUAAAACUCAAAUGAAUUGACGGGGUCAUAGCUGUUUCCU
rnacentral:rRNA from 1 species